GAUGAACGCUGGCGGCGUGCCUAAUACAUGCAAGUCGAGCGAACAGACGAGGAGCUUGCUCCUCUGACGUUAGCGGCGGACGGGUGAGUAACACGUGGAUAACCUACCUAUAAGACUGGGAUAACUUCGGGAAACCGGAGCUAAUACCGGAUAAUAUAUUGAACCGCAUGGUUCAAUAGUGAAAGACGGUUUUGCUGUCACUUAUAGAUGGAUCCGCGCCGCAUUAGCUAGUUGGUAAGGUAACGGCUUACCAAGGCAACGAUGCGUAGCCGACCUGAGAGGGUGAUCCGCCACACUGGAACUGAGACACGGUCCAGACUCCUACGGGAGGCAGCACUAGGGAAUCUUCCGCAAAGGGCGAAAGCCUGACGGAGCAACGCCGCGUGAGUGAUGAAGGUCUUCGGAUCGUAAAACUCUGUUAUUAGGGAAGAACAAAUGUGUAAGUAACUAUGCACGUCUUGACGGUACCUAAUCAGAAAGCCACGGCUAACUACGUG
rnacentral:rRNA from 1 species